AACGCUGGCGGCGUGCUUAACACAUGCAAGUCGAACGGAAAGGCCCCUUUGGGGGUCCUCGAGUGGCGAACGGGUGAGUAACACGUGAGUAACCUGCCCUUGACUUCGGGAUAACUUCAGGAAACUGGGGCUAAUACCGGAUAGGAAUCCUUGCUGCAUGGUGGGGGUUGGAAAGCUUCGGCGGUUUUGGAUGGACUCGCGGCUUAUCAGCUUGUUGGUGGGGUAGUGGCUUACCAAGGCUUUGACGGGUAGCCGGCCUGAGAGGGCGACCGGCCACAUUGGGACUGAGAUACGGCCCAGACUCCUACGGGAGGCAGCAGUGGGGAAUAUUGCACAAUGGGCGGAAGCCUGAUGCAGCAACGCCGCGUGCGGGAUGACGGCCUUCGGGUUGUAAACCGCUUUCAGCAGGGGCGAAGCUUGUGGUGACGGUACCUGCAGAAGAAGCACCGGCUAACUACGUG
rnacentral:rRNA from 1 species